rnacentral:rRNA from 1 species
UCGAGAAUAUUCCACAAUGGGCGAAAGCCUGAUGGAGCGACGCCGCGUGCAGGAAGAAGGCCUUCGGGUUGUAAACUGCGGUAGUAGGUUAAUAAUUUCGAUGAAUGACCUACGGAAAGAGGUUGGUAACUACGUGCCAGCACCCGCGGUAAUACGUAGACCUCAAGCGUUAUCCGGAUUUAUUGGGCGUAAAGGGUGUGUAGGGGGUUUUGCAAGUCAGAAGUUAAAUCUCAGGGCCUAACCUUGGGACCGCUUUCGAUACUGCAAGACUAGAGGGCGCUAGAGGUCUGUAGAACGCACGGUGUAGGGGUGACAUCCGUUGAUAUCGUGCGGAAUACCAAAGGCGAAGGCAGCAGACUGGGGCGUUCCUGACCCUGAAACACGAAAGCGUGGGGAGCAAAAAGG